GGAGAAAUACUCAAGAGGCCGAAGAGGCGCCCCUGCUAAGGGUGUAGGUCGGGAAACCGGCGCGAGGGUUCAAAUCCCUCUUUCUCCGC
rnacentral:tRNA from 3 species